UCUGAGCACCGGUGCUAACGUUGCAGAAGCCCAGAUUAAGUCCGAGGCCCGGUAUCGUACUGGGGAGGCAUCUGGCUGUAAAGUGCAGAGGCAAGUCAGCAUAAGGCCGGGGCCUGGUUUUGUGCUAGGGAGGCAGCUGGCUCUGGUUACUGGAUUAAGUCAGCGUAAGGCCAGGGCCUAGUUUCGUGCUGGGGAGGCGGCUGGCUCUGUGAACAUCCUGCAGGUUCCACAGGUUUCAUCGGGAGAAGCCAAAGAGAGAACCAAGCCUUCAGCUCCUCCCAGAAAAAGGGGCCCCACCUAGGAAACUCGGAGAAAGGCGGAAAAAAA